rnacentral:rRNA from 1 species
AUUGAACGCUGGCGGCAUGCCUUACACAUGCAAGUCGAACGGCAGCACGGGAGCAAUCCUGGUGGCGAGUGGCGAACGGGUGAGUAAUAUAUCGGAACGUGCCCAGUCGUGGGGAUAACGUAGCGAAAGCUACGCUAAUACCGCAUACGAUCUAUGGAUGAAAGCGGGGGAUCGCAAGACCUCGCGCGAUUGGAGCGGCCGAUAUCAGAUUAGGUAGUUGGUGAGGUAAAGGCUCACCAAGCCGACGAUCUGUAGCUGGUCUGAGAGGACGACCAGCCACACUGGGACUGAGACACGGCCCAGACUCCUACGGGAGGCAGCAGUGGGGAAUUUUGGACAAUGGGCGCAAGCCUGAUCCAGCAAUGCCGCGUGCAGGAUGAAGGCCUUCGGUUGUAACUGCUUUGUACGGUAACG